GUGACAGGGAACAAUGACAGUGAAUGUGUGUGUCAACAACCAAUCCAAAGAGAGGCUAAAAAGUGAGGGAGCUGAAUGUGACAAGGGCCAGCAAAGGGAACAGUGAAGUCCACAUCAAGGAGGCCUAGAUUUCCUCAUCCCUGGUUUUGCAGCAAACCACUAUGAGUCCAGAUCCUGGGCUCUCUGGGACCACAAGGUGGCGGCAGCAAAUCACCAUUUGGAAGAGAAAUACGAGGACUGCCAAACCAAGAUGAGAGGGAACAGCUACUCCCCUGCACUUUUGACAGCAGCUGCCACGUUCAUAAAUGAUCCGGUUGAACAAUGAUAGUAGUAAUAAGAA